AUGCGUGGUGUGAAGCUGCAGAGCGGACCCGACCGCAGUCUCCGGAUGAGGCCUGCGCACCUGCGCCUACUUCCUCUGCUCGCCUGCACCCGGUGGCUCUCUGAGACUGAGCACAGCACGGGUCCUAAGAUCGGCAAACGUUUCCAAACAGUGGGGGCUGAGCUUUUAGCCCAGGGCAGGCCCCUUCGGAGAGCCAGCUGCUGGAGGACCUGGGCAGCACUUUGGCCUGGCUUGUGGCAAUUCUUCUCAACAGGCCGUUCUCAUGGAAGGGAGGAACACCUGAAGCUGGGACGACAAAUCCGAGGCUCCUGGAGGGCGGAGUCACAGUAACAAAAAGCUGACUACUACCAUGAUGUCUCUACCUGAUCUCCCUGGUUGAUUUCAUCCACUCUCACCGAUACGCCAAUGACUCCUGUUGUGCCAUAUUCAGAUGUCACCUCCACCCUUUCAUUCUGGGAAAGGAAUCCUGAUCAUCAAUAUUUCAGAUUUUUUAAUGACCUUCUAAAUAACACAAGUAGUGCCUGAUUUCUGGAGAAACUUGAGAACUGCAAGUGAAAGAAAUCCAAAAGGCAGAAGUCUGAAAUCCUAACUUCUAGAGAUAAUCACUGCUACUAAUUUGAUGUAUAUCUAACUUUAUGGACUUUUUUGGUGUAUACAUAUUGAAUAUUUGGUACAACAAUUUAUCUUUUUUCUCUAAAAUUUUGGCCAUACAUUACAUACUGCUUGGCAAUUCGUUUUUGUUGUAGUCUUUCCAAAUCACUAAAUAUAGUUCUACAACAUAAUUUUAUGACUACACAGCAUUCCAUGAAAAGAUUGUAUCAAAUUUCUUCUAAAUUCUAAUUUUAGAAGAAACACUAGGCUUGUUUUGGUGUUUUCUCCUAUCAUAAACAAUACAACAACAAACAUCCUUGGGCCUAAAUUGAUGAGUUGCUCCUAAAUAUUGUCAAAUUACCCUCAAAAAAGAUUGUACCAAUGUACAUACAUUCCUACCAACAGUGGACAGGAGUACCAGCAUAACAUUCAUCAUCCAUAAUUUUUUCAUAGCACUGUGAAUAAAUUUUGCCUAUUUUUCCUCA
rnacentral:lncRNA from 1 species